GUGGGGAAUAUUGGACAAUGGGCGAAAGCCUGAUCCAGCCAUGCCGCGUGUGUGAAGAAGGUCUUCGGAUUGUAAAGCACUUUAAGUUGGGAGGAAGGGCAGUAAGAUAAUACCUUGCUGUUUUGACGUUACCGACAGAAUAAGCACCGGCUAACUUCGUGCCAGCAGCCGCGGUAAUACGAAGGGUGCAAGCGUUAAUCGGAAUUACUGGGCGUAAAGCGCGCGUAGGUGGUUUUGUAAGUUGGAGGUGAAAUCCCCGGGCUCAACCUGGGAACUGCCUCCAAAACUGCAUGACUAGAGUACGGGAGAGGGUAGUGGAAUUUCCUGUGUAGCGGUGAAAUGCGUAGAUAUAGGAAGGAACACCAGUGGCGAAGGCGACUACCUGGACUGAUACUGACACUGAGGUGCGAAAGCGUGGGGAGCAAACAGGAUUAGAAACCCGGGUAGUCC
rnacentral:rRNA from 1 species